UACGAAGGGGGCUAGCGUUGCUCGGAAUCACUGGGCGUAAAGGGUGCGUAGGCGGGUCUUUAAGUCAGGGGGGAAAUCCUGGAGCUCAACCCAGGAAGUGCACUCGAUACUGCCGAGCUUGAGUAUCGGAGAGGUUGGUGGAAUUCUCGGUGUAGAGGUGAAAUUCGUAGAUAUCGAGAGGAACACCGGCGGCGAAGGCGGCCAACUGGACGAAUACUGACGCUGAGACACGAAAGCGUGGGGAGCAAACAGG
rnacentral:rRNA from 1 species